rnacentral:rRNA from 1 species
UACGUAGGGUGCGAGCGUUUAAUCGGAAUUACUGGGCGUAAAGCGUGCGCAGGCGGUUUUGUAAGUCAGAUGUGAAAGCCCCGGGCUUAACCCGGGAAUGGCAGUGGAAACUGGCGGGCUUGAGUGUGGCAGAGGGGGGUGGAAUUCCGCGUGUAGCAGUGAAAUGCGUAGAUAUGCGGAGGAACACCGAUGGCGAAGGCAAUCCCCCUGGACCUGUACUGACGCUCAUGCACGAAAGCGUGGGGAGCAAACAGG